UUCUAGACCUGAUGGAAGCGGCAUCCUCUUUAUCCCGGCUUUUCGGGAUAAAGAGAUAUAGCAGACAGCAGGAACUAUC
rnacentral:sRNA from 1 species